UACGGGGGGGGCAAGCGUUGUUCGGAAUUACUGGGCGUAAAGGGCUCGUAGGCGGCCAACUAAGUCGGACGUGAAAUCCCUCGGCUUAACCGGGGAACUGCGUCCGAUACUGGAUGGCUUGAGUGUGGGAGAGGGAUGCGGAAUUCCAGGUGUAGCGGUGAAAUGCGUAGAUAUCAUCAGGAACACCGGUGGCGAAGGCGGCUUUCUGGGUCUUACCUGACGCUGAGGAACGAAAGCCAGGGGAGCGAACGGG
rnacentral:rRNA from 1 species